AGUUGCGAACGGGUGAGUAACGCGUAGGUAACCUGCCUUGUAGCGGGGGAUAACUAUUGGAAACGAUAGCUAAUACCGCAUAACAGCUUUUGACACAUGUUAGAAGCUUGAAAGAUGCAAUUGCAUCACUACGAGAUGGACCUGCGUUGUAUUAGCUAGUAGGUAGGGUAACGGCCUACCUAGGCGACGAUACAUAGCCGACCUGAGAGGGUGAUCGGCCACACUGGGACUGAGACACGGCCCAGACUCCUACGGGAGGCAGCAGUAGGGAAUCUUCGGCAAUGGGGGCAACCCUGACCGAGCAACGCCGCGUGAGUGAAGAAGGUUUUCGGAUCGUAAAGCUCUGUUGUAAGAGAAGAACGUGUGUGAGAGUGGAAAGUUCACACWGUGACGGUAACUUACCAGAAAGGGACGGCUAACUACGUGCCAGCAGCCGCGGUAAUACGUAGGUCCCGAGCGUUGUCCGGAUUUAUUGGGCGUAAAGCGAGCGCAGGCGGUUUAAUAAGUCUGAAGUUAAAGGCAGUGGCUUAACCAUUGUUCGCUUUGGAAACUGUUAAACUUGAGUGCAGAAGGGGAGAGUGGAAUUCCAUGUGUAGCGGUGAAAUGCGUAGAUAUAUGGAGGAACACCGGUGGCGAAAGCG
rnacentral:rRNA from 1 species